rnacentral:rRNA from 1 species
AUAUUAAUAAGCGGAGGAAAAGAAACUAACAAGGAUUCCCCUAGUAACGGCGAGUGAAGCGGGAAGAGCUCAUAAUGAAAAUCGGCUAGCCAAGCGGCUUGUCGAGUUGUAAAUUGAAGACGCAUUGCCAGUAGUGACCCAGGUAUAAGUCUUUUGGAAUAAGGCAUCAUAGAGGGUGAGAAUCCCGUCUUUGACUUGGAGUUCACCGCGUACGGCAUGCGUUCAUCGAGUCGAGUUGUUUGGGACUUGCAGCUCUAAUUGGGUGGUAAAUUUCAUCUAAAGCUAAAUACCAGCGAGAGACCGAUAGCGCACAAGUA